rnacentral:rRNA from 1 species
CCUACGGGUGGCAGCAGUGGGGAAUAUUGGACAAUGGGGGCAACCCUGAUCCAGCCAUGCCGCGUGUGUGAAGAAGGCCCUCGGGUUGUAAAGCACUUUCAGUGAGGAAGAACGCCUGGUGGUUAAUACCCAUCAGGAAAGACAUCACUCACAGAAGAAGCACCGGCUAACUCCGUGCCAGCAGCCGCGGUAAUACGGAGGGUGCGAGCGUUAAUCGGAAUUACUGGGUGUAAAGCGUGCGUAGGUGGCUUGAUAAGCCGGUUGUGAAAGCCCCGGGCUCAACCUGGGAACGGCAUCCGGAACUGUCAAGCUAGAGUGCAGGAGAGGAAGGUAGAAUUCCCGGUGUAGCGGUGAAAUGCGUAGAGAUCGGGAGGAAUACCAGUGGCGAAGGCGGCCUUCUGGACUGACACUGACACUGAGGUGCGAAAGCGUGGGUAGCAAACAGGAUUAGAUACCCCUGUAGUC